GCUGUCUUAGCUCAGUUGGAAGAGCAACGGUCUUUUAAACCGUAGGUCAUGGGUUCAAGUCCCAUAGGCAGCACUA
rnacentral:tRNA from 1 species